rnacentral:rRNA from 1 species
AUUGAACGCUGGCGGCAGGCCUAACACAUGCAAGUCGAACGGUAGCACAGAGAGCUUGCUCUCGGGUGACGAGUGGCGGACGGGUGAGUAACGUCUGGGAAACUGCCCGAUGGAGGGGGAUAACUACUGGAAACGGUAGCUAAUACCGCAUAACGUCGCAAGACCAAAGUGGGGGACCUUCGGGCCUCACACCAUCGGAUGUGCCCAGAUGGGAUUAGCUAGUAGGUGGGGUAAUGGCUCACCUAGGCGACGAUCCCUAGCUGGUCUGAGAGGAUGACCAGCCACACUGGAACUGAGACACGGUCCAGACUCCUACGGGAGGCAGCAGUGGGGAAUAUUGCACACUGGGCGCAAGCCUGAUGCAGCCAUGCCGCGUGUAUGAAGAAGGCCUUCGGGUUGUAAAGUACUUUCAGCGGGGAGGAAGGCGGUGAAGUUAAUAGCUUCACCGAUUGACGUUACCCGCAGAAGAAGCACCGGCUAACUCCGUGCCAGCCGCCGCAGUAAAAC